AAUUGCAUGAAAAGUACCAUAAAGAAAAACAAAAACUUUUUGGAAAAUCGUCUCCAAAGUAGGUUUUGUUGAGUUACCUAUUUUCAGACAUCUAAAUCAAUGUCGAGGUUUUGUGCAUUGACGAGCCUCGUAUAAAGAUAAAUAUUUAUUUAAUUCCCAGAAAUGGAUACAACAUGCGAAAGUUAAAAUUGGUUAACAAACAGCAAAGUUAACGCAAUUUAUUAUGUUCAACUAGUUGCAAUUAAUGGAAUGCAGGAAAAAUGAUAUUUUACAUUCUAAGUUUACAUACAAUAUAUAUACAGUGGUACUACUAAACUAAAUUAAUAACUAGCUUAAAUCUAAAAUAGGCCCUUGAGGCAUUGUACCAAGGAUGCUGGCGGCAUUUCCUCGCUGUAUCGCAAUACUGAUACGUUGUGCGAGGAAGCCGCCAGCUCUUCGGUCACCAGUUACGUCAAGCAGACGUGUGUAUUUAAUCGAAGAUUUUAA